GAGGAAAAGAAACCAACAGGGAUUGCCUCAGUAACGGCGAGUGAAGCGGCAAAAGCUCAAAUUUGAAAUCUAGCACCUUCGGUGUUCGAGUUGUAAUUUGAAGAUGGUAACCUUGGGUUUGGCUCUUGUCUAUGUUCCUUGGAACAGGACGUCAUAGAGGGUGAGAAUCCCGUCUGAUGAGAUGCCCAUUCCUAUGUAAGGUGCUAUCGAAGAGUCGAGUUGUUUGGGAAUGCAGCUCUAAGUGGGUGGUAAAUUCCAUCUAAAGCUAAAUAUUGGCGAGAGACCGAUAGCGAACAAGUACAGUGAUGGAAAGAUGAAAAGAACUUUGAAAAGAGAGUGAAAAAGUACGUGAAAUUGUUGAAAGGGAAGGGCAUUAGAUCAGACUUGGUGUUUUACGAUUAUCUUCUCUUCUUGAGUUGUGCACUCGUAUUUCACUGGGCCAGCAUCGAUUCGGAUGGCAAGAUAAUGGCAGUUGAAUGUGGCUUCACUUCGGUGGAGUGUUAUAGCUUCUGCUGAUAUUGCCUGUCUGGAUCGAGGGCUGCGUCUUUUGACUAGGAUGCUGGCGUAAUGAUCUAAUGCCGCCCG
rnacentral:rRNA from 1 species